rnacentral:rRNA from 1 species
AGCGAACGCUGGCGGCAGGCCUAACACAUGCAAGUCGAACGAAGUCUUCGGACUUAGUGGCGGACGGGUGAGUAACACGUGGGGACGUGCCUUUAGGUUCGGAAUAACUCAGGGAAACUUGUGCUAAUACCGAAUGUGCCCUUCGGGGGAAAGAUUUAUCGCCUUUAGAGCGGCCCGCGUCUGAUUAGCUAGUUGGUGAGGUAAAGGCUCACCAAAGCUACGAUCAGUAGCUGGUCUGAGAGGAUGACCAGCCACAUUGGGACUGAGACACGGCCCAAACUCCUACGGGAGGCAGCAGUGGGGAAUCUUGCGCAAUGGGCGAAAGCCUGACGCAGCCAUGCCGCGUGGAUGAUGAAGGUCUUAGGAUUGUAAAAUCCUUUCACCGGUGAAGAUAAUGACUGUAGCCGGAGAAGAAGCCCCGGCUAACUUCGUGCCAGCCGCCGCCGUAACAC